rnacentral:tRNA from 1 species
AUUUAAAUAGUUUAUAUAAAAUAUUGAUUUGUGGAGUCAAAGAAAUUAUUUGAUUUUAAAUU